AUGAACUGCCUCUUUUGGAAUUGUAGAGGAGCAGGUAAAAGAGGGAGAGCUACCUGCUUCUCUAACAUCAUUAGGGACCACUCCCUCGACUUUAUAGGAAUCCUAGAAAAGAAGAAGGAGAAGUUUACACCCAAAUAUCUACGAAAGAUUGACCACUUUGAGAUAUUUAACUGGAACUGGACCCCUUCCAUUGGUAAGUCUGGUGGUAUCCUUUGUGGAAUCAGAAAAGAAACCUUGGAUAUUGUUUCUUGGGCGGUAGGUAAUUAA
rnacentral:rRNA from 1 species